UACGGAGGGUGCAAGCGUUGUCCGGAUUUAUUGGGCUUAAAGGGUGCGUAGGCGGCCUUGUAAGUCAGUGGUGAAAGCCUCCAGCUCAACUGGAGAACUGCCAUUGAUACUGCAAGGCUUGAGUACAGACGAGGUUGGCGGAAUUGAUUGUGUAGCGGUGAAAUGCAUAGAUACAAUCAAGAACUCCGAUUGCGUAGGCAGCUAACUAGGCUGUAACUGACGCUGAGGCACGAAAGCGUGGGGAUCAAACAGG
rnacentral:rRNA from 1 species